UUACAUCAAAAUAUCAAACAGUAAAAUCUAUUUAGGGUAUUUGAAUAGAUCUCUUAUUAGAAGAAGAUGGUGGAGUAAAACACCAACAUCUUCCCUUAAGACACCUUCCUAGAUUAGGAUCUUCACAGUUAGGUUGACAAUCUUGAUCUUUUUUACAAUAUAAUAUUCCUUCUGCCAAGCAAACAUCUACAUAUUCAAACAAUAAGAUUAGAAUUGAAUGUAAAAAUGAAAAAUUUGAAAGGUUAACUAAAAUGUUUGAAGUUAAACAUAAUAGCAUCAAACAUAUAUAAGUACAUUGGUUUCAAACCUGUUGCACAGAUGAAGAAUGUCAAUAAAAAUAAAAUGGCUAUAAGAGAUUUUCUUGUAGUAUUCAUAUUUGUAUCUUGUAUGUACAAAAUAUUACACUAUGUUAGUAUUUAUAUAUGUAUAUUGUGACAAUGCACAAGGGACAUAUAAAUUUUAAUUUAAUUUAAUGCAUUGAAUGUGAAAGAAAAUUUAAUCUUAAUCAAUAGAAUUAAAUUAUUCUUAAAAAGUCAAUUUAAAAUUAAUAUUUGUAUUGACUUAAUUUGAAAAGAGAAUCAAUUUUAAUCUAGAUGGCGGGUGUAAUUAUUGUUUUUGUAAAAUGUAGUCAAUUUUUUUUUGAAGUUUUCAAAAUUUAUUUAUUUUAUAAUUUAAUAAUUUAUAUUUAAGAAGAUGUUGAUGUCAUUACAUAAUUCAUUUUCAAAGAUGAAUCGGUGAUAGUAGGGUGGUAUUGAAUAUAUUUUUUUUUGAAGUUUUCAAAAUUUAUUUAUUUUAUAAUUUAAUAAUUUAUAUUUAAGAAGAUGUUGAUGUCAUUACAUAAUUCAUUUUCAAAGAUGAAUCGGUGAUAGUAGGGUGGUAUUGAAUAUAUAUACUACUUUAACACCAAAUUUUGUCUCUUAAUCUUUUUAUCCAAAUAUGCUUAUUCAUAGUUCUAUAUAAUUAAUAUUAUCUUUUUUAAUAUUAGGUAAAAUUUAUUUAUUAAUAAAAUAUUUUUUGAAAAUGGUAUUAUUAUUAUUAUUAUUAUUAUUAUUAUUAUUAUUAUUAAUAUUAAUAUUAAUAUUAUUGUUACAGUUAAUAGCUCACUGAUAAGCUUUUUAAUAAAAAUUUUGAAAGUGAAAGUUUGAAUAUUAUUUUUCAUAAAAAUACAGUUUUUUAUAUUACACAUGCUAUCAUCAAGUAGAAAUAUUUUUUUUUCAUUAUAUGAACUAAAAUAUUUCUUUAAAAUCGCAAACUCAUAAUCAUGUAAAUUAUAAUUUAAAACAAACUCUUAAUAUCAGAAAAAAAAAACUCUCUUUCUCACUUAGUAAGUGAGAAAAAAAUAGUUUCAAAAAAUAUCUUAUUUCAAACUUAAUUGUAUUUGAUAAUUAAAAAGGAAAUAAAUGUUUAUAAAUUUUUUAUUUUUAUAACAAAAAAUAUCUUAUUUCAAACUUAAUUGUAUUUGAUAAUUAAAAAGGAAAUAAAUGUUUAUAAAUUUUUUAUUUUUAUAAUAAUUAUUUUAUUAUUAUUAUAGUCAACAAAUUACUGAUGAUUUUUGCAUAAACUUUUUAAAAUAUCAUAAAACUUUUAAAAUAGAAUGGUCGGAUAUUUUUUUUUAUUAAAAUACUAUUUCAAUACUAUUCAUAGCAGGAUCAAAUAUAAAUAAUUUUUUUUUUAUAAUAUAAAUAAUUAGGACGUUCAUGGGUGCGGGUCGACCCACGAAUCCGCUAAUCCAAAUCAACCAAUUUAUAAAUUACCGGACUAAUUCAUUUACGGAUAUAUUCAAUCCAACUCAUAAUAAUCCGUAUAGUUUUGGUUCAGAUAUUGAGUUUGAGUUUUGCAACCCGCGGACCCGUUAACCCAACUCAUUAAUAUGACUUUAGUAAUUUCUUAAUAUUUUAAAUAAAAAUAUAAAUUAAUAUCUCACUAAUAAUCAUAAUUUUUUCAAAAAAAUCUAUUCUCCACAAAUAAUAUUACUCGACCAAUGAGUUUACGUAAUUCUAAGAUUAAAUGUUGUUUCUUAGUUUCUUUUGUAUCAUUACCAACUUAUGUAUUUUAUAGAAAUAACGUGUCUUGUUGAAUUUCAUCUAUUAUAAAGUGUUAUGUCGAGUUGAUAAAUUUUAAUAGAUAUUACAUGAUGUGUUUCAUUGAGUUUAAGUGUUAUAAAAAUGAAUAUGAUUGUAUUGAGUUGUGUUAAUUUUUUUUUAAACUGAAACAAAAGAAAUCAUAAAAAAUAUAUUUUUUGAAACACAACCCGCGAACUCAACUCAAUCCAACUCAUUAAUAAACAGGUGGGGUCGGUUUUGACAAUGCAAUUGUGGGUUGGACGACGGAUCCAACCUAUUGAAUUCUGAACGAGUUAGGCCAAAUCCGAUCCAACGCAACCCGCGUACACCCCCUAUAAAUAAGAAUAUUUUAUUUUAAAUUAUCAACUCACAACUAUAAAAUUAGUGGAAUAAUGAUUUAAACUGAAAUUUUUAAUAUCGAUUAUAAAAAAGUAUAUUGGGUGAAAGAAAUAGUGUUUUUAAAAAAAAACCUGUUAGGAAUUAAACCAUAUCUAAUAUAAAAUAAAGGAAAUAAAUUAUCUUGAUUAAAUAUAAUAAUAUAGUACCAACACUAAUUGUUUGAUGGUUAGUUUAAGAGUAUUAUAUAAUGCAGCUUAGACGUCAUAGUCGAGUUGCAAAAUUCUAAUUCAUUCUCUAUAAGACUAGAGUACCCAAUUCAUCGAGCCGAAAUAGUUUAUGAAAAAUGCGAGUCCACUCUAGUAUUUAAAUUAUUCAAAAUCCUUUGUAUUUAGAAUGUGAUUCUAAUCCUUUCCAUAUGAGUGAAAAGGUACAAAACAAGAUAAACAUGUCUGAACAAAAUCGUAAAGGACCAUAAGACUAUGGGUACCUAAAUCGGAAAUCAUUUUUUGCUACAAAUAUGCUUUCAAGGGAAAACAAAGCAACAAUCAUGUACCUGAACCAGUGGUUCCUCACGACAUAUGACAGGAGAUUCAUAUGUUUAUUAAUAAUGUCUGGUUGGUGGAUGGACUAAACAUAACCUACUUAGCAUAAGUGAAUUUCAUGAUAAUGGUUAUGAAGUAAUGUUUAAUAAGAACAUUUACACAGUCAUGAAAGAAUUUGAUAAAUCUCUAGUGUUCAAGGGUAAGAGUAAGGCAAUGUUUACAAAAUUAAGUUUUAUGAAUUGGCUGAUUAGAAAGUACAUUGCCUCUACAGUGGAAUAAUGAAAGCAGGUCUGACCAAAAGGUUAGUCAGGCUAACUGAAGAUUAUCUGCAAGCUUAGCCAGUUAAAACUUAGUAAGGGGCUACCAGAUCUUAGCUAUCAUUCAGAUGCUAUAUGUGUAGUCUUCCAAAUUGGGGAAAAAGUAACAAAGAACUUUGUCUUACCUCUAGACCCUUAGAACUGCUUCACAUUGAUUUGUUGCGUCCUGUUAGACUGCAUCAAUCAAUGGAAGAAUAUGGACUUGUGAUAGUUGAUGAAUUAAUAGUUGGACUUGGGUUAAAUUCCUUAGAAUCAAGGUGAAUCAUAUGAUGUGUUUAAUGUUUCUGCAUACAAGUACAAAUGAAAAGGGUCAAAAUAUUUAAGGUAAUGAGUGAUCAUGGGAGAAAAUUUGAAAUGAACUUUGAAAAGUUUUGUGAAAAAAUGGAAUCCUCCAUAAGUCUAUUCUCCUAAGAACUCCAUAGAAAAUGGAGUUGUAUAGAGGAAGAGCAGAUCCCUACAAGAAAUGGCCAGAACCAUAAUUCUGAAAAUCUUACCAAAGUACUUGUGGUUAGAAGCUGUGAACACAAUAUUGUUAUGUUCAGAACAUGAUCUCAUCAAUAACCCAUAUGAACAAAACUAUAUAUGAGAUAUUCAAAGAAAGGAAGCCUAACAUUUCUCUUAUCAUCAGUUUGGAUGACAUGUUACAUCUUAAACACAAGUAUAUCUAAAGAUUGAUGCCAGCUCAAAAGGUACCUUUUAUACUCUGAUGUCAAAGACAUGUAUGGGUUAAUCUGAACCAAAUGUUGAAGAUAUUAACAAAAUAUUGAGUAUCAAAGUAGAAGACAAACAAACCUUCACGGAACGCAGUUGGAGCAAACUUAUAAUCUUAAGAUUUCAUAUAUCAUAAGUCUCUCCAGAAGCUGGUGGAUCAUAAUCUAUGACUCCUUUAGAAGUUGAAUGUUCAGAAGGUAGUGUGCAUAACCAAACCAAUUUAACCACAUCCAAAGAAAAAGUUCUGAAGAAGAUCCUUGUGACUCUCAGAGAACGCACAAUCCAGAAAAACCUUCAAUUAGAAGUUUCUCAUCCAUAAGAGUUAAUCAUUGGAAACAAAGAUAGUCCUCUAAAAAACAAGAUAUGCAUUCAUAGAGGAGCAUUUAAUGCCAAGACUAUCUCCAUGAAAGAACCAAAUUCUGUGAUGAAGCCUUAUCUGAGGAUGGAUGGAUUGUAGCAUCGCAAGAAGAAUUGAACCAGUUUCAAAGGAAUGAUGUGGGAGAUCUGGUUCCCACACCUCAUCAAUAAAACAUCAUUAAAAAAAUGGGUGUUCAGAAGAAAGCUUAAUGAGCAAGGAGAGGUGGAAAGAAAAAGUCACACUGUAGCUCAAGCUAUAACCAACAAGAAGGUAUAAAAUUCUUGAAACCUUUUCACAUGUUUCAAGGUUAGAGGAAUUAGUUUACCUUCUCUCCUAUGCUAUUAGUCAUGACAAACAUUCUAUAGUCAAAUGGAUGUACAGAGUGAAUUUUUUAAAUGGUGUCAUUUUUGAAAAAGUAUAUGUAAAACAAACACUUUGGUUUAAAGAUUCAAUCCAUACAGACUAUUUUUCAAACCUAAGUCACUUUAUAGACUUAAAACAGGCUCCUAGACCUAUUACGGAGAUUGAUUAACUUACUUUUAGAAAUGAUUUCACAAAGGGCAAGUUGAUACUACACUCUUCAGAAAAACAUUGAAAAUGACAUCUUAAUUGUCAAGUGUAUGUAGAUGAUAUUAUUUUUUGUUAUACUAAUAUACCCUGUGCAAGAGUUUUCUAAGACAAUGCAGGAUGAAUUUGAGAUGAGCAUGAUGGGGAAUGAAGCUCUUCCUUGGAAUUCAAAAUCAACCAAAGCAAAGUGGAGUCUAUGUUCAUCAACCAACAAUAUACUAAAGAGCUUCUGAAGAAGUUCAAGCUUGAGACUGCAUUAUGAACAGUCCUAUGCAUCCAACAGGCAAUAUAUACAAAGAAGAAGAAAGCUCAUAAGACUAUCAGAAUUUUUAUAGAGGUAUUAUGGUUUCUUACUCUACUUAACAAAUUCUAGGCCACAUAUUUUGUCAGUGUGUGCAUAUGUGCAAGAUUACAAUCAGAUCUUAGCGAGACUCACUUAACUAAUGUUUAAGAGAAUCUAUAUUCAUCUGAAGGAACUAUUAAUCUAGGGUUGAUUUAUAUAAUCCUAGAUUACAAAGCUGGUUGGAUUCUAUGAUGCCUGACUAUGUUGGGGAUAGAGUUGAAAAGAAAUCACUAGAGGAAACUAUCAAUUCUUACGUGAAAACUUAAUUCACGGGCUAGUAAAACACUGAUAAGUAUUGCUUUGUCCACUUCAUAGCAAACACAUCUUAACUGCUAAAUGUUGCACACAACUCCUCUGGAUGAAAUAUAAGUUGGAAGAUUGUCAGAUUAGUGAAAAUAAUAUUUCCAUCUUCUGUGAUAAUACUGCUGCCAUCUGUUUAAUUAAAAAUCUAGUUCAACAUUCUAGAACAAGAAAAUAGAGAUAAAACAUUUAUUUUAUUAUAGAUUGUGUUCAGAAAGGUAUAAUAGAUAUACAGUUCAUUGAUAACAAAUUAUCAUAUGGGCUGAUAUAUUUUACCAAGCCACUUAUAAUAAAAAGAUUUGAUUUCAUUAAAAGAUCUGAACAUGCAUUUAUGGAAGAUUAGGUGAUUGCUUCUAGUGAAGAUCAAAGAUUGAUAUGAUUAGAAGCACUAUGGUCAGAAGCUCUACAGCUUCUGAUGUGUAGUAACUUCUGAAGCAUCUCACCUCUGAUGCUCUAAACUUGAUUAAAUGUUUUCUGAUGGCAUAUACACUGGUUUUUUAUUUAUGUUUGAAACAUUCUUAUAUAUAACUGUCCAUUUAUGUGUCAUAAAUCUGAAAAAUAUUUUGAUUUAGUCUUAUAUUUGUUAAGUUUUCAUUUGUGCUUAUUUGCUCUAUCUCUAAGCAUAUCAAUGUUGAUAUUGGGUUGUUUAAAAUAAAAUAUGUUUGACAAUCCCCCUGGACAUCAAGUUAGGGCAAUUAUUUUUAAAUUCACCACGCACACAUGAUAUGAUGGUUGAAAAGAGAUUCAAGCAAAACUAGGAAAUAUAUUGAUUUUAUUCAAUAGAAAAGGAUUACAAGGCUUUAAAUUAAAAGAGACAAUACAACUAAAAGCUUCUCCAACAGAAGAGGCUAUUCUACUUGUCAUCAGUUCACCCUCAUAACAAUGAGGAACUUCUUCUAGUCUGGCAUCCACUCGUCAUCAUAUGAUUCUUUCUUUGGGGAUUAUUCAUCCUUGUCUCUGAGGUUUUCCAACCCUUUGUGCACCAGCAGAAGUUCAGCACCUUUUGAAGAGUUGAUUUUGUCAUGUCUCUGGAUCUUUAUAGUAUUCUUAACUUCUUUUGAGGAACCACCCUUGUUGUCUUAUCUUAUUUGCGCAUUUCGACCAGAGGAGAGUUUAUGAAAGAAGGAGAAAUGGAUUUUCUGUUUGUUCUAAACUGACUUUUAUAGGGAAAAUGGGAACAACUGAAAUCUGGAUCAUUUAAUGUGCACUAUGGAAUCAAGAGAGAGAUGGCAUUCUUGGUAUUCAAACUCACUUUCCAAAGGUUUGAGUUCUAGGCCUCAUAGGCUCAAACAUUGUUGGAAUAUCUCGCGGUUUGUAGAACAUUUUCCAACCAGUCAAGUCAUUUAUUAAAAUCACACCUUUUCUUGCUUUCAUGUUUUAAUUGAAGACACAAGGGGGAACAUGUCUUGCUUUUCAUUAUUUAAAUCAGACAAAUUAUUUCCCAUAUAUUUAUUUUUCUUCAGAAUCUUUUCUUUUCGUGAUGUUAUCUUUUUGUUUAUGGCCAAAGGGGGAGGGGGAGUUAAGGGUAUUUAAGCACACCUAAGCACCAAAAUAUGAUGAUUAUUCUUAGUGUUGCUUAAUUAAAUCAUGAAGAUUAAUGAUAUUGUGCCUUAGAAGGAAUUUAAUUAAUUGGAUAUGACUUAGGGUAACUUACAAACCUCAUCCUUUGGACUUACAGACUAAGGUGGAGCUUGCAAACCUCAGACCCUGAAGCUAACAUGUUAAUUAAAUUAACCAUUGUUUUAAAUAUUUAUGUUUGUAUCAUCAAAAGGGGAGAUUGUUGGAACAAAAUUGGUCAAUACCAUAGAUCUCUUAGGUUUUAAUAAUAAGAAAUUAUUAAAGAACAUUGAGUAUUCUAACAUUUGUUCAAGUAUGCAUGAUUACAAAACCAAGAACAUAUGAAUAGAUGAUUGAUUGUUCUGCAUUUGAAGUUCAUACUCUGGUUCUAAAGAUCACUUCUGAACUCUAGAUUUGAUGGAAGAACAAGACUCGGAAGAAGUUACGGAUAAUUCGGAAUGUAGAGAAAAACAAGAAGCGGGGUUUGAAUUGUUUUGAGAGAAUAAAAACUAAUGAUAUUGAAAUUCUCAACUACUACAGAAAAUCGAACAAAAAGCUAAGAAUGAUUUUCAAAGCACAAGAGAGAAAAUAAAGAAAGAAAGUAUUAAAUUAAUAUGAUAAUAUAGUAGAAUAUUCAUAUAAAUGAUAAAUAAAUACUAAUAUUAAAUAAAAAUAAAAUAUUUUUUAUUAUCAUUUUAUUCUGACAUAAUGAUUACAUCAAAAUAUCAAACAGUAAAUCUAUUUAGGGUAUUGAAUAGAUCUCUUAUUAGAAGAAGAUGGUGGAGUAAAACACCAACAUCUUCCCUAUAAGACACCUUCCUAGAUUAGGAACUUCACAGUUCAGGUGUUAUGUCAUUCUUAGGUUUUCAAAUAUGUUAUCACUCUCACGUCACUUUUCAUUCUUUCACUAACUUGGGUAUUAAAGUGUUAACCUUUUAGGUCAACCUCCUCUUCUUCGCACUGUAAGCUUGCUCCAUAGUACCAAGUUCCUACUUCAUGUUCUUCGAAAAGCCAUGGAUCCACAACAUAAAAAAUAUGCUCUUAAUGAGUGUUUAGGGGCAUGAAGUUAUUUGUGGGUCCGUGUUAGCUUGAGAUUUUUAGCUAAGUGAAAAUUAAACAAAUUGAUGGUCAUAACUACAUUGACAUUACUAAGUGUCUAAAGCUUAAACCAAAAGCUUCUACAUACUGACGGUAUCGACUUGUUGGUUCGAUUGACCUAUAAGUGAAUUCGAGGUUAAGAAUGGUUUGGGGGAUUCUUAGGAACAAAUACACAAGAUUAUAAUCACUCUCUCUUCCAAACGUGUUUAGAAUCUUGAAAGAACACAAAGCAACCCUUCGACACGAUGUCAAAGUCGACACUUGUAAGUGUUAAGUACUUAGAAUAUUUUCAAGUCCAAAGACCAUGAUGUGGAGGUAUCUCAACCUUUGACAAGGGCGGUUAAAGCGUUCAGAAAUAGCUAUCAACACAGUUAUCACCAUGUUUCAUUUUGGUUUUUAGCAGUUUCUCUUUGAAGACGCAAGGAAGCGAGUUAGAGCAAAGCAUCCAUAAGUAGUAGGACACACGUCAAACAUGUAACCAAGAACUAUUAUUGAUGGUUAGUUUAAGAAUUGAAUAUGCCAGACUUAUCGUCACUUAUGCGAGGUUGCAAAAUUCUAUUCUUCUCUGUAGAACUAGACAGUAACAAUUAUCGAGAGAAAUGUUUAUUGAAGAAUGCGAGUCCAAUCUAGUAUUUUUAAAUUUAUUCAACUUUUGUAUUUAAAAUGUGGUUCUAAGCUUUCAUAUGAGAGCAAGUAAAAAAGAUAAAACAUGUCUGACAAUUCUAAGGGACCAUUAAGCUAUGGGUUACCUAAAUCAGGAAAUUCAUUUUUGCUAACAAAUAUGCCUUUUAGGGAAGCAAGCAAAACCAUGGUACUGAACGUGGUUUCCUCAGCGAAUAUGAAGGAGAUCUAUGUUUAUUAUAUGUUUGGUUGGUGGAUGGGACUAAAAUAUAAACCCUGACUUAGAUAGUCAUUUCAAUUGAUAAUGGUUUGAAUUAAUGUUUAUAGAAAUUGUACAAUUCGUGAAUGACUUUGAUAAUCUCUGUUUUCAGUGUCAAGAGGAAAGGCUGUGUUAAAAAUUAGUUUUAUUGAAUUGGUGAUUAGAAGUCUUGCUUUCUAUCGUGAUAUGAAAGUAGGUCUGACACAAAGGUUGGUUGCUAACAGGAGUUAGAUCUCAGGCUUAGCCAGUUAAAAUUUGUUUAGUGGCUACAGUCUUAGCUUUCUUCGAUGUUUUAGUGUAGUCUUCCAUGGGAAAUCAACAAGAACUUUGUCUCGUACCUCUAAGACUCUUAGAACUGUCUACAAUUGGAUUUUUGUGUCCUGUUAGGACUGUCAUCAUCAUGGGAAAAUAUGACUGUCUAGUUGUGAUGAUUUAAAGUUGGACUGGUUUAGAAUUCCUUAGUACAGGUGAAUAUAUAUGUGUUAUAAUAUCUGCUACGAAUAACCAAACGAAAAGGGUUAAAAAUUUUAAGUACAGGAGUGACAGGAAGAAAUUUUGAAAAUGAACUCUUGAAAAGUUUUGUGAAAUAUGAAUCCCCAUAAUUCCUUCCCUGAACCCUAGAAAAUAGGAGUUAUAGAGGAGGAAACAGUCCUUCCAAGAAAUGGCAGAACAUAAUCAUAAAUAAAUAAUCCAAAAGUACUUGUGGAGAAGCGGAGCAUAAUAUGAUUAGUACGGUUUCGUUCACAUUAGGAUGAUUGGAGAAAUCCGAAGGUAACCAACAUGAGUCCGCACCUCACUUCUAUUUAUCUAAGGAAUGGUUAAAAGCGAACAAAAACCUAAGUUUUAUCGAAUCAAAAACUAGUAAAAUGUCAGAGAUCUGGUAGGGUUGGUUAGCAAUGGGAAGGUUUAGAUCCAAAUAUCCUAGGUACUCCUAGGAGCCCUUUUCAUAAGUGUUGUUUAGUCUAAAGGAUGGUAGUCUAAGAUACUAUUUACUCAAAGGAAGGUAAAGAAAUGACUCGCAAGGAUGUCGCAUCCACUGUUACGUAUAUCUUGAGUAUGAGAAUCAGAGUUUCGUAGCUCGGUACCUAUGGGUUAAAGAGAAGUGUGCUCGGUAAGACGUCGGUUUUGCCCUCGAUAUCAUCAUAUGGAAUGAGAUCAGAGCAAAAGUAGUUCGUAACUAGGGGUUAGAUUUUCAUUUGACAUGGACUUACAAGAGGAACCAGCUGUGUAAAGGAGGGUGGCGUGUGUUCACGUCCUGCAGUAGUGUGCAGCUCGGUGAUCGAGUCUUAGAGCAGUACCUUCUCUGCAAUAGAAGGAUGAUGCACAGAUCGGAGGACCGCGGAAGGUCUAAAAAGUGUGGAGCUCGUGCUUCUAGAGUUGUAUGCUUUAUGGUCCUAUUGUCUUAGGAUUUACAAGGGACAUCUACCUAAUUGCGCUGGCAAAGAUAGGGGAUUCUACUAUGUUAUUACAAGGGUUUACUUAUAUGGUUGUACCUAGGAACAAGAUGUCGACGAUGUGAGUCGGAGGGAGUUAGCGGAUAAGGGUAGAAUGGCGUGCGCGAGGCUCGAUUCAGGUAGAUGGCGAUGCCUGAGGCAUCGGACUUACAAGAGGUUGGCAUGAUACUGUGGUUCUGUUAAGUUUUGAAAAUGAUUACUCGAUGUUGGAUCGAGCUUUUGAUCUUAUUUUGAAAUGGUUAUCGGAUGUUCGUUUUAAUUCUUGUAUUAACAGGUGACUAAAGAAAUAAAUAUUAUAAACUUUAUGGGAGAGGGGUACAUUUGUUAUGAAUGGGGAUUGUUCAUGGCAAACAAACAAUAAGAAUAUAUGCCUCAUACAUCAUACAAGUAGGCAACAGUUAUCAAUCAGACCGGAUAAAUAAAAAAUAUAUAAUCAAACCAAAGAAUCAAAUAAUGAAGCAUUUAAACAAUGCAUGGGAGUUUGAACAUGUUAAAUAAUCAAGCAAUAGAAAGCAUGAAUGAGAGAAACAAGUAUAAAAGAUAACAUAUGAAUCAAAUAGAUGAAAAUAUACACACGAAGGAUCCACUGAAUAAUUUAAUCAGGAAAUGAGGUAAGUACCAAAUAAAAUCAGGGUAAAAGGCCUCUAAUACAUGGCAUAUGAGAUGAACAAGGGAGGAUCAAAAGAUCUCUUCAAUUGCCAUAAGCAAUCCCUAAGUCAAACAUCGAUCAUAAAGAAGUCAACUGAAAAUUCAAGUCAACUUAAAAAAUAACAAAUAAAUAGCAAAUUAAUCAAGAAAAUUAUGAAAAAUUAAACUAAAUGAGGUGGGGUCAGGACAUCAUCAUCCCCCAAAAAGAUUUUAAAAAUAAUGAAAAUUAGUACAUAAAUUAAUUAAAACAAAACAGAGGUCAAAUCAAAAGUCAAUUAAUGAAUCAAGCUAGGCUUGACACCAGACCAACAUUCUUCUGGUGUGAUUCCUUCUAGCUUCUUCGUCGGACAUCUGUUCAGGAUAUAUGUCGUAGUCGACACAGCUUCUCCCCAUAGUUCUUUGGGUAGAUGCUUGCCUUUCAACAUACUUUUAACCAUAUUCAUGAUGGCUAUAUUCUUCCUUUCUGCGACUCCAUUCUGCUGUGGAGUGUAGGGUGGAACCACCUCAUGCACAAUCCAUUCUUUCACACAUAAUGCGCCGAAGUCUUUCGACACAUAUUCUCCACCACCAUCAGUCCUCAAAAUCUUGAUCUUUCGAUCAUAGAUUUAAACUUGGCAAAUACCUCGAUCACUUCACUUUUCUUCUUGAUCAGGUAAGACCACAGUUUUCGACUGAAAUCAUCUAUGAAUGUAACAAAAUAUUUGUUACCUCCAAUCGAAUCCACCUGGAGAGGACCACAUACAUCAGAGUGUAUGACUUCAAGAAUUGCCUUCGACCUGCUUCCUGCAUCCUUACUGAAGUUGUUCUUAUGCUACUUCGCCUGCACGCAUUCUUCACACACUUCGUUUGGAAUGUCGAUUUCUGGUAAUCCUAAAACCAUAUUUCUUCUUUGCAAAUCUAUGAUUUCUUUAAAAUUGAGGUGGCCAAGCCUAUAAUUCUAUAUCCAUUCAUCUCUGCUGGCUACUGUUGCAAGGCACUUAUGCUCCAUCACAUUUAACUCUCGAUUUGAAUGCAAGAGAAUUAUGUUUGGUACCCAAUGUUGUGCUCCCUCAAAAGUUCAAAGUACCCAAUGUUGUGCUCAUGUGUACUGUGUUUCUGGGUUGACUUUGUAUCUCAAUCCUCCAUUCUGCAUACUUUUACUAAUAAUCCACAUCUAGGACCUUGAUGGCAUGCCACAUGAUCCAUCAAAUCACAAUCAGGGGUUCCAGAGAGAGUCAACCAUUGACUUUCUCCCUCCAUGGACUUCCCCCUCAGCGUGGGCUCACCGAAAAUGGGCCUAUACCCCUUGCUUUUUACACCCCACUCUCAAAAUCCCAUUGUUAUUUCAACAUAAAACACACCCCUACCCUUUUUUGUUUUAUUUACUUUUAUUUAAUUUAUUUUCUUAAUAAAUAAUGUCAAUAAACUAUUUUUAUUAUAAAAAAUUAACCAAUAAUUGAUUAAAUUAGUUGAUAAUUAUUUUUUACUAAUUAACGUUUAUUUUAUUUUUAGUCAAUAAAUAAAAAUACAAAAAUAACUUGUUUUAUAAUAAGGGUUUUAUUUGAUUAAUUUCAUGAUUAACUUUAGGGUUAACACUUAGGCAUUAUUGGGGUUAAUUAGGGUUUAAUCAAGAUAAUCAAUAAAUAAAAAUACAAAAAUAACUUGUUUUAUAAUAAGGGUUUUAUUUGAUUAAUUUCAUGAUUAACUUUAGGGUUAACACUUAGGCAUUAUUGGGGUUAAUUAGGGUUUAAUCAAGAUAAUAUUGACAUGUCUUAUGCUAAUUAAUUAUGUUUAAUAAUUUCUCAAAUAAAAAUAAUUAUGAUUUAAUUUCUGAUUAAAUUAAUUAUAAUAUUUUUGCAACAAACCAAUUAACUAAAAUAAAUGCCACACAUUAAAAUUUUAAGUCAUCUGCCUUUGUGCAUUGAGUCGUUUUCAAAUCAAACACAUUUUUCGCCCCCAAUGCGUUGAGAACUUUCAACAAUCUAAAAACAACUAAAACAAACAAACAUUUUCUAGAAGAAUUACGGUGCUCUGACCCUUCAUCUGAUAUGGAGGUACGUAGGCAUAAAGUUGUAACACUCUAGCGAGAGCGAUAACCAAAAAACCUUUUCUGUGUCUAACUCCAUUAAUCAACAUUUUUCUUUAAAUAAUAUCAUUUUCUUUAUAAAUAAGUAGAUUAAGCAAUAAUAGAUUACAUAAGUCAACAUUCCUUAUAAACACACACUACCACUAGGGUUAAAGGAGGAUCCCAUUGAGUAUAAUGGAGGUGAGAUGUUCCUAACACCUUCCUCUUGCUUAAGCGACUUUCGAACCCAUAUUCGGUUGCAAUGACUGUCUCACCAUUCCCUUAGGUUUUAUCAUUAUUUCCAUAUUUCUUAGGAACAAAUAAUAGAUGAUGGAGACUCUGUGAAUUUUCCAGCCACAACAAUAUGAUUAUGACGUGUCUCUAUGUUGAUGGCAUAUUGAUAACAGGGAGUUGUGAACAUGAGAUAGAUACGUUCAAGAAGGUGUUGAUGAGUGAGUUUGAGAUAACUGAUCUAGGAAAGAUGACAUAGUUCUUAGGGAUGAAGUUUAUGUACUAUGAGAAGGGUAUCAUUUUGCAUCAGCUGAAAUAUGAACUUGAGCUUCUCAAGAGAUUCGAGCUGCUGAAUUGUAAGGUUGUUGUCACACCUGUAGAAACAAAUCACAAAAUGGAUUAUAAUUCUUAAGGUGAUGAUGUAGAUGCCACAAAUUUCAAGCAUUUGGUUGGCUCUUUGAGGUAUUUGUGUAAUACCAGACCUGACAUUUGCGCUCUCAUUACCAAGAUGUUGUCAGGAUUCUGAGGUAUAUUAAGGGGACUUUGAAGUAUGGUUUUUUGUUCCCUUCUAGAGAAAAGGCUAGUUCAGAGCUAAUGUGUAAAUCAGACUCUGAUUGGUGUGGAGACAGAGUUGACAGAAGAAGUAUUUCUGGAUAUUUAUUUAAUCAUCUGGGAGUUCAUAUUUCUUGGUGUUUCAAUAAACAAUAAGUUAUUGCUUUGUUAACCUGAGAAGCUGAAUAUAUUGCAGAUUUUGUGGUUGCAUGUCAAGCUACUUGGCUUCUGAAUUUACUGCAAGAUUUGAAGAUCAAGAUAAACAAGCCUUUGAAGCUGGUGAUUAAUAACAAGUCUACAAUCAAUCUUGCCAAGAAUCCAUUGUUGCAUACGAGAAGCAAUAAUAUUGAGACUAAGUAUCAUUUUCUGAGAAGUCAGGUUCAGAAUGGAGUGCUAAAAGUUAUGCACUGUAGCACCCAGCAGCUGGUAGAUGUUCUAACGAAAGCGAUCAAGACUUAUCAAUUUCUCCACUUAAGGGAUGAAAUUGGUGUUGUCCAUUUUUUUUUAUUUUGUAAAAGUCUUGAAAAAAAUUAAAAUGAAACAUUAAAAAAAAGAAUAAUGAGGUUAAGAAAGAAUAUUAAUUUUUAUCUUGUGCCUACAUGACACUCAUUAUUUGUGUAUAUAUAUUAGUUAGCUGUCAACAAAAUUGUAGCAGCACAAAUCUGUUUAACAAAAUGUGUGGUGCACUUUUUUGCUUGUGACAGUUGUAAUAGUAAUCGGAAGUUAUGUUAAUUCUCUUUUUUCUCUCUUUCUCUCAUCUCAUCUUCUCCAUUUGUCCACCAAAAAAACAUCUAACCUUUAUUUUGAAAUCACCAAUAUCUUCAAUAAUAUUCAUAUUAUAAAGAUCAUAUAAAUAUGGAACAAUAUUACGAUUCUAAUAAACAAGAACAAAAGCAUCAAAAUAAGAACUUAAAAGUAUGUAAAUCUGUCAAUUGUCCUGACAAAUGGAAGUCUAAAGCUAAUUCAAGUAGCGGGUUUAUCAAUGGUAACACCGUGGAUAACUUUGAAAGUUAGACGUGUAAGGCUGAGUUGAGAAAUAGAGUGGUGUCUUUUGAACCAAAAGUGAGUGAGAAGAAAGAAUCGAGUGAAAUUGAGAAGAAGAGCGGAAAAGGAAGUGGUAGUGAAAAAGGAAGUUUGAGAAGUAUUCUAAGGGAGAAAAAAGUGAGAAUAAUACUGAUGAAGAAGUUAGAGACUACAUCCUUAACUAAUUCAUUGAUAAAAGUUCACCACUCAGGAGAACCAAACAAAAAACUGAUCUUGACUUAGCCGAAUCUUGAGCUACUUAUAACAUCAAACCUCUUUACUCGAUUCUAAAAAAGACACCUAGAAAAAUAAAUAGGAAAUGGACCACUUAAAUAAAUAUUUUUAACAAAAUAUAAUUCUGACAAAUUUCAAAUCAACUCAUUUCGUAUCGAUAUCAUAAAAUUAUCAAAAUUUAAGAUAUGUUUAGGAUUGACUCGAUUUCAUCUUGAUAUUCUCAAAGUACAAUAAAAAAACCCAACAAAAAGCGAACAACAAUUUUCAAAGGACAAGAGAAAAAACAAAAAAACAAAUAAAAGUACUAAAUAAAUAUGAUAAUAAUAAUAGAAUAUUGAUAUAAAUGAUAAAUAAAAUACUAUAUAAAAUAAAAUGUUUUUAUUAUAAUUUUAUUCGAACAAAAUGAUUACAUCAAAAUAUCAAAUAGUAAAAUCUAUUUAGGGUAUUUGAAUAGAUCUCUUAUUAGAAGAAGAUGGUGGAGUAAAACACUAACAUCUUCCCUUAAGACACCUUCCUAGAUUAGGAUCUUCACAGUUAGGUUGACAAUCUUGAUCUUUCUUACAAUAUAAUAUUCCUUCUGCCAAGCAAACAUCUACAUAUUCAAACAAUAAGAUUAGAAUUGGAUGUAAAAAAGAAAAAUUUGAAGAGUUAACUAAAAUGUUUGAAGUUAAACAUAAUAGCAUCAAACAUAUAUAAGUACAUUGAUUUCAAACCUGUUGCACAGAUGAAGAAGGCCAAUAAGAAUAAAAUGGCGAUAAGAGAUUUUCUUGUAGUAUUCAUCUUUGUAUCUUAUAUGUACAAAAUAU
rnacentral:lncRNA from 1 species